CCACCCUAUCCCCCCAUGGAAACUCAGGGCGGCUUUCAAUGCCUAUCUAAACAAAAAUACCCAUAAAAAUGAAAACAAAAGACAAUACUAAACAUUGUACAGUAAGUUAAAACAAACAGUUGCAUUUAAUAGUUAUCAUCAAAAGUAAAACCCUCCAAAACCACUUUCUUUACCUCCCCCUCUACUAUUAUAUUUUCAUUCCUUACUUCUACUUCUGAUAUAUUUAUCCCUGCGGGUAUUCUGCCUGCCGGUUUUUUUAAAUAAUUAUUUUUAAAGGAAAGUAAUUGUUGGGCUUCACUAGAAUAACUUGGCCUGAUGGCCACCAGAGCUGCUCACCUCCACCUUUGAAGAUCACUAUCUUUCUAUCAACAAUCUCUCCCUGUGUGUACCUGGCCUGCCUUGUUCUGCCCUAGUCUAUAUCACUGCAGUUCCAGAAAUAGUUAAAUAACAACAAUAAUUUGAAGAGGAACAGCCAUUGGGUUGACAAAGGUGUCUAGUCUGUCUAUCUGUACCAUAAAGGCUGUUGCUAGGUGUCAGUUCAGUGGCCCUUUGUCAUGUCACUGAAGUGGCCUCUUAUGUCACUGGGAAAUAAAGGUGACACAUGUAUGAAGGGAGGGAGGGAUGAAUGAAGCAAGGAAAAGCAUGGAGACACCGUAAGUUCCCAGUGGCCUGUCUUCAGCUACAAUUAAAGCAUCAUCCAAUAAUGCAGAAGGUGGGGAAGAUGUCAGCAUUUGGUGCACCAUAUUGGGAGACCCAGAGGUAGAAGUGGAGUUUAACUGGGUAUAUCCAGGACAAGAGGCAAGCUGUUGUUUAUUUCUCUAAAGCCCAAAUACUGAAUGUUAUACACAA